UACGUAGGGGGCGAGCGUUGUCCGGAAUCAUUGGGCGUAAAGAGCGUGUAGGCGGCCUUUUAAGUCCUGCGUGAAAUCCUGCGGCUCAACCGCAGACGGUCGUGGGAAACUGGAAGGCUAGAGUGCGGGAGAGGAGAGUGGAAUUCCCGGUGUAGCGGUGAAAUGCGCAGAUAUCGGGAAGAACACCCGUGGCGAAGGCGGCUCUCUGGAACGCAACUGACGCUGAGACGCGAAAGCGUGGGGAGCAAACAGG
rnacentral:rRNA from 1 species